GUUGGCACUAAUUUAACUUAAAAUACCUAGAAUUGAUUAUAUUUGUCCCUAUGAGGCUGCCAUUAUUGGAAUCAGUUCAAAUGUUGACAUUCAACAUGGCGGCAUGUCGUCAGUGCUGUGCUGUGUCGUGCUUGUGUAUCUAUUAGUUUAGGACAAUUUUCGAAUUCAACAUUUAUUAUAAAAUCUAUCAAUCGAAGUUAAAAAGGAAGAAAAUACUUAAUAAUAA